AAGUCGUAACAAGGUUUCCGUAGGUGAACCUGCGGUUGGAUCAUUAUUGAUUAAACCUUUAACCUGCAAGUUGAGACCUUAACGGGACUCCUUUCAGGUUAAAAUUUACACUAUGUGCACUAUAACUGUUUUUCGAGUAGAGGGAUUCGAAUAGUAAUGGUCUAUAGGAAUUUAGGUUCUUUAAGACUGUGAAAGUAGACGUACUUUUAGGUUACUCUGGUAACCUUAAGGUUAGGGGAUUCGUUCUCUUCCUAGACUCGGCUUUAUAAAUCAACCACUUUAACAUUUGCCUUAGAAAUUUUUGUAAAAAGAAAUUAAAACAACUUUUGACAACGGAUCUCUAGGCUCUC
rnacentral:misc_RNA from 1 species